UGGGAUAGCUCAGUUGGCAGAGAACGAGACUCUUAAUCUCAAGGUUGUGGGUUCAAACCCCACACAGGGCAAAA